rnacentral:rRNA from 1 species
UACGGAAGGCAGCAGUGGGGAAUAUUGCACAAUGGGCGAAAGCCUGAUGCAGCUAUGCCGCGUGUAUGAAGAAGGCCUUAGGGUUGUAAAGUACUUUCAUCGGGGAGGAAAAACAAAACUAAUAAUUUUAUUUCUUGACGUUACCCGAAAAAGAAGCACCGGCUAACUCCGUGCCAGCAGCCGCGGUAAUACGGAGGGUGCUAGCGUUAAUCAGAAUUACUGGGCGUAAAGAGCACGUAGGUGGUUUUUUUAAGUCAGAUGUGAAAUCCCUGGGCUUAACCUAGGAACUGCAUUUUGAAACUGAAAUACUAGAGUAUCGUAGAGGGAGGUAGAAUUCUAGGUGUAGCGGUGAAAUGCGUAGAUAUCUGGAGGAAUACCUGUGGCGAAAGCGGCCUCCUAAACGAAUACUGACACUGAGGUGCGAAAGCGUGGGGAGCAAACGAGGAUUAGAUAC